CCUGCCUGUGUGUUGCAGGGAAGCCGCCCGGGAAUGCCGGAGGAAGAAGAAGGAGUAUGUGAAAUGUCUGGAAAAUCGAGUGGCAGUCCUGGAAAACCAGAACAAAACUCUAAUUGAAGAACUAAAAACUUUGAAAGAUCUUUACUGUCAUAAAAGUGUGUAAGAAAAGAAGAUUUCACAGCUCAAAGACUCUAUAGAUUUUAUUUACAACGUGUUGGUGACAAAGUACAAAAAGGAAACAAGAAAACCUCACCAAAAUUCCUGCUGGCACAACUGGAAACUGAUAAGAGUCAAGAUUGCAGCUGCAGUGGGAGGACAGUCACGUGUGACGAGGCAGGUGAUGAGAGUUUCUUUGAGAAUUCCUACCAAUACCUCUAAUAAUGGAGGCAAAAUUUGGUUCCAGUGAAAACGUGGAUGAAAUGGAAUCCUUGCCAUAGCUGACAUUAUUAGUAACAUUUAUAACCAGUGUAUGUUUUGAUUUCUUACUCCUUUUCAAUCCUUUUUCCUUCAGUUACUUGUCUGUAAAUAUUUUUAUUUUAACCUGUAAGUUGGCAUUUACAGGUGCAGGUGAUACUUUGCUCGAGGUAUAAAUUAUGUUUUUCCUCUUUCUCAGAUGGCAGUUUAAAAAAGCUGGGAUGAUUUUUAAUCCAUGUUUGCUGUGUUUAUCAGAUUUGGGAAAAGGAUCUGCAGAAGGCAGCGGGAGGCCUGGUCCUGGAAAUGUCUGAGGCACAGGAAACUGUGCUGAUUUUCCCCAGACAAUUCAACACAUCCCUGGUUUUAAAGCACAGUGUGGUGGGACAGGGACUGAUGACAAAAGGUCCUGAAGAAUUUCCGAAAUUCAAACUUCUGGAAGUUGAAUUUCACAGGAGGUUUGUUCUUAGUCCUGGGCAAUGAGAAACAUCAGUCGUUGAAAAUUAAAUUGUGUUACAGUGAAACACUCAGUGGCUGGGGAUUCUCCUGGGCUUUGGAACAUGAAACCAAAUAGAAGAGAAAGGAUGAAGUAACAAAAAAAGGAAGAUCUAUACCAAAGGGUUACGAGGUUCUAGUUUCUGGGUUAUUGCUGGAAGUAGUGCAAAAUUACCAUUUCCAGCCUAAUUUUGUAAGGUAGGAACUAUUUUGCAAAGUGAGGGUGUCUUUGUAAGCAAAUAUUCUAUUGCAAACAGGGAGAUGGUUGGUAUAUUUUGUAGCUGAAUUGUGAUCUUUACAAAACCUGAAAUUGAGUUUCUAUACGUAUUUUGACAGUUUAUAUAUUUCAUUUUAGUAACCAAAUGAAAUAUUUUGUGAACCAGAUUUUCAAGGAUAUAUUUUUAUGGAUAGUACAAAGUCAAAUGAGAUUCCUCUUUGGUGUAGGAGAUAUUUGAAUUAAUUUUGUAUGUCUGUGGGCAACUUGGGAAAAAAAAAAUGGAUCCUAAAGAGUAUUGGGGGGGAAAAAAAAAAGAAUAAAUAAUAAAGAAAUCAGGGCUUUUUACUCCCCACAGUUGACAGUAUCUGCACAUUAGAUCUGAUUGUGUCAGAGGGUUCAGUUUGUACACUUUUGUUUCAGGUGAAAAUUAAGUGUUUGAUGUGAUCAGGACUCUUUUGGGUGGGGAAUCUCCAUUCUUGGAGAUCCCCGGAGCCGUCUGGGGAGGACGUGGACCUGGGCAGGAUGUGACCCUGGACAGGUUGUGACCCUGGGCAGGAUGUGACCCUGGACAGGACGUGACCCUGGGCAGGUUGUGACCCUGGGCAGGUUGUGACCCUGGGCAGGUUGUGACCCUGGGCAGGAUGUGACCCUGGACAGGACGUGACCCUGGGCAGGUUGUGACCCUGGGCAGGUUGUGACCCUGGGCAGGUUGUGACCCUGGGCAGGAUGUGACCCUGGACAGGAUGUGACCCUGGACAGGAUGUGACCCUGGACAGGACGUGACCCUGGGCAGGUUGUGACCCCGGGCAGGUUCUGACCCUGGACAGGUGCUGUAGAUGCCCCCCCUUAGCAGGGGGUGGGACAGGAGGACCUCCAGAGUCCCGUCCCCCCAUCCCAUUCCAGGAGGGCUCUGGGAACGAUCCCACCGUGUCUGCAGCUCUUUUGCAUGAGUAACAACCCCCCAUUUCCAGAGCUGGGAUCGAAUACCAGUCCUGCUUCCAGUUCUGCCAGUGGGAAUUGCACUGUGGGCUGUGCUGUCCCAAGGUGUUGGAGCUCCCUGUGUGUCGUGCUCGCUCGGAUCCGGGUGGAAUUCCAAGCUCUGCUCCCUCCCUGGAUGUGUGAUGCUUAUCCCAUGGUCAGUCAGGAUUUUUGAUUUUUACUCCUUUGGGAAUUAAUGGACUUGUAGCAAGCAGAGCUCUCUGCCAUGAGGAAUCUGCAUUCCACGAUCUCCUGGUUAGUGGGUCAUAAAAGGGUGGUUUUUCCUGCAGUUUUUAAAUCUCUGAUUGUUCUGGACACGAGUCCCGAGGCGUUUCCUUUAGGCCAGCCUGGAGUUGACUCCUGGUUGCCACCCUGCCAGAAAAGAGCUUUUUGGCACAUCAGAAACGAGGUCGGGAAAGUCCUGCCCUGAGGGAGCUGCUCCUGGAGAGGUGUCAGUGCCUCCUGUUUCUUUGGUGGAAUCUCAGGACAAACGAACAGCCUGGAGUGUGAACCUCAGAGAUCUGGACCUUUCCCCUCAGGUGUUGUGUGUGUGUUACCUGGAACGUGUGAGAGAGGCUUUGACCUGCAGUUCUGAACUGCUUUGGGAACUCUGUGGUAGCUGAUCCUCACUGGGUAUUCUCCUUUUCCUUUUGUAAUAUGGAAUAAUAAUAAACAAAACCUAUCCAAUGUUGAGGCUGUAGAACCGUGGUGGCCAGUUCUUUCUGUGUCCAACACCUGCCCUGCUGCCAGACACACCAGGAGUCAAGUUUUAUCCUCUUUUAAAACAGUGUGUUGGAAAGAGCAGCUGCUUUUUCAUCGUGGGAAUAUUAAACAGUAACACGAGUUUCGCUCUUUAAUCACUGACCACGAAGUUCUUAAUUUGGAUUUACUUUAAAAUCUCGAUUGUAAAGAGUAAAAUCUCACUCCUGAGGGUAAGAGGUGCAGCACCCAGUGCUGCUCUGCUGGUUGGUUCCAAACAGUCCGUGCUUUCCAUGAUUUGUAAAUAUUUGUUGAAACAAUUAAUGGUUGCAAAUUUUGACCUUGGUAAAUAAAGUCGCCAAAAUAUUAUAA